GCUGGUGAUUUUGGCGGAAGUGGUACACCUGUUCCCAUCCCGAACACAGAAGUUAAGACUUCCUGCGCCGAUGGUACUGCAUGGGCAACUUUGUGGGAGAGUAGGACGUUGCCGGCA
rnacentral:rRNA from 1 species